GUGGGGAAUCUUGCGCAAUGGGCGAAAGCCUGACGCAGCCAUGCCGCGUGAAUGAUGAAGGUCUUAGGAUUGUAAAAUUCUUUCACCGGGGACGAUAAUGACGGUACCCGGAGAAGAAGCUCCGGCUAACUUCGUGCCAGCAGCCGCGGUAAUACGAAGGGGGCUAGCGUUGCUCGGAAUUACUGGGCGUAAAGGGCGCGUAGGCGGACAGUUUAGUCAGAGGUGAAAGCCCAGGGCUCAACCUUGGAAUUGCCUUUGAUACUGGCUGUCUUGAGUACGGGAGAGGUGAGUGGAACUCCGAGUGUAGAGGUGAAAUUCGUAGAUAUUCGGAAGAACACCAGUGGCGAAGGCGACUCACUGGCCCGUUACUGACGCUGAGGCGCGAAAGCGUGGGGAGCAAACAGGAUUAGAUACCCUGGUAGUCC
rnacentral:rRNA from 1 species